rnacentral:rRNA from 1 species
AGAGUUUGAUCCUGGCUCAGAAUCAACGCUGGCGGCGUGCCUAACACAUGCAAGUCGAACGAGAAAGUGGAGCAAUCCAUGAGUAAAGUGGCGACCGGGUGAGUAACACGUGACUAACCUACCCUUGAGUGGGGGAUAACCUCGGGAAACCGGGGCUAAUACCGCAUAACAUCCUUGAGGUGGAAACCUUGGGGAUCAAAGGAGCAAUUCGCUUAAGGAGGGGGUCGCGGCUGAUUAGCUAGUUGGCGGGGUAAUGGCCCACCAAGGCUUUGAUCGGUAGCCGGCCUGAGAGGGCGCACGGCCACACUGGAACUGAAACACGGUCCAGACUCCUACGGGAGGCAGCAGUGGGGAAUUUUGCGCAAUGGGGGAAACCCUGACGCAGCAACGCCGCGUGGAGGAUGAAGUCCCUUGGGACGUAAACUCCUUUCGACCGGGACGAUUAUGACGGUACCGGUGGAAGAAGCCCCGGCUAACUUCGUGCCAGCAGCCGCGGUAAUACGAGGGGGGCAAGCGUUGUUCGGAAUUAUUGGGCGUAAAGGGCGCGUAGGCGGUGCGGUAAGUCACCUGUGAAAUCUCUGGGCUUUAACUCAGAGCCUGCAGGCGAAACUGCCGUGCUGGAGUAUGGGAGAGGUGCGUGGAAUUCCCGGUGUAGCGGUGAAAAUGCGUAGAUAUCGGGAGGAACACCGUGGCGAAAGCGGCGCACUGGACCAUAACUGACGCUGAGGCGCGAAAGCUAUGGGAGCAACAGGAUUAGAUACCCUGGUAGUCCUAGCCCUAAACCAUGGAGCUUGGUGUGGCGGUACCCAUCUGAUGUGCGGAGCUAAGCGUGAACAUCUCGCCUGGUAGUACGGUCGAAGGCUGAAAUCCAUGAAUGAAGGUGUCCGCUCAACUAUGG